GUUUCCGAGGAGGAAGGAGCCGCCGCCAUUUUGGGAGCUUCGAGUCAACAAUAAAGGACCGAGGGUGCCGAGCGGGAGUGGCCUCGGUGAUUGAACUGAGUGAAUUCAGAUAUAACUCAAGCUUGUUGUUUGAGGGCUUAAAAAAAAAAGUUGAUUCGGUGCAUGAGAGCAAGUUACUGCUGCUUACUGUUCAGAGACUUACAGGUGCUUGCCUGCAUUGCAAUAAAGGACUCAUAUAUUGAGCAAGACUUAUAUUUAUCUCUUCAUUUUGGAGAGCCUAAUAAACUGUUAUUACAGUUUCUCUACUGACUUUCAAAAGUUUUGAAGUUCGAAAGAGACACCUUUGCAAUUAACACAGCAUGAGCACGGCCAGAACAGAGAACCCUGUUAUAAUGGGUCUGUCCAGUCAAAUGGUCAGCUGAGGGGCCCUGUGAAGCCCAGUGGUGGCCCUGGAGGAGGGGGCACACAGACACAGCAACAGAUGAACCAGUUGAAAAACACCAACACAAUCAAUAAUGGCACUCAACAGCAAGCACAGAGUUUGACCACCACUAUUAAACCUGGUGAUGACUGGAAAAAGACUUUAAAACUCCCUCCAAAGGAUCUAAGAAUCAAAACUUCGGAUGUGACCUCCACAAAAGGAAAUGAGUUUGAAGAUUACUGUUUGAAACGGGAGUUACUGAUGGGAAUUUUUGAAAUGGGCUGGGAAAAGCCAUCUCCUAUUCAGGU